CAGUCGACGAACUCUUCGGAGUUAGUGGCGGACGGGUGAGUAACACGUGGGAACGUGCCUUUAGGUUCGGAAUAACUCAGGGAAACUUGUGCUAAUACCGAAUGUGCCCUUCGGGGGAAAGAUUUAUCGCCUUUAGAGCGGCCCGCGUCUGAUUAGCUAGUUGGUGAGGUAAAGGCUCACCAAGGCGACGAUCAGUAGCUGGUCUGAGAGGAUGAUCAGCCACAUUGGGACUGAGACACGGCCCAAACUCCUACGGGAGGCAGCAGUGGGGAAUCUUGCGCAAUGGGCGAAAGCCUGACGCAGCCAUGCCGCGUGAAUGAUGAAGGUCUUAGGAUUGUAAAAUUCUUUCACCGGGGACGAUAAUGACGGUACCCGGAGAAGAAGCCCCGGCUAACUUCGUGCCAGCAGCCGCGGUAAUACGAAGGGGGCUAGCGUUGCUCGGAAUUACUGGGCGUAAAGGGAGCGUAGGCGGACAUUUAAGUCAGGGGUGAAAUCCCGGGGCUCAACCUCGGAAUUGCCUUUGAUACUGGGUGUCUUGAGUAUGAGAGAGGUGUGUGGAACUCCGAGUGUAGAGGUGAAAUUCGUAGAUAUUCGGAAGAACACCAGUGGCGAAGGCGACACACUGGCUCAUUACUGACGCUGAGGCUCGAAAGCGUGGGGAGCAAACAGGAUUAGAUACCCUGGUAGUCCACGCCGUAAACGAUGAUUG
rnacentral:rRNA from 1 species